AAGUGAAACUCCACCAUUGUGCAGCAACCAGAAGAAGAUGACAUGACAGUAUUUGAAUAAAUUUAGAUUGCUGUACUUGAAAGACCUAAUGCUUUUUUUGCAGCAAAAAUUAAUAUAAGACCCUGUCUUAUUUUCAUGGAAACAGGGUAGGCAUGUGUUUUUUCAUGCAGAUUCUGAGUGGUUCUUUACCUGUGGCCCUCCAUUCGCUUUAGACAUCAACUUCCAAAAUCCCUGACCAUUGACCAUGCUGGCUGAAGCUUCUGGAAGUUGAAGUCCUAAGCACCUUCAGAACCAAAAGGUAGAAAACCAUAGCUCAUGUGCAGACAACUAUUUUGUCCUGGAACCAUUUGCAUCCAGUGUGUUCUUUAAAUGAGAGAAGCGCUAAAUCUAAGGCUGAGAACCCAGCCACUUGCAUUCAUGUUCUGUGGAAGCCCACUAAAUUUCUUUUGUUUACCUGUUUUGUAACCAGGCCAGUGUUGAGGUUUUUGAAACUCUCCAAGACCUUUGAUUCAUUCAGUGUUUCAGUGCGAUGAGUUGGGACCUCUAUACAUCAGCAGCAGAGGCCCUACAUUCUUUUUCUACAGUUAUUACUUAAUGUUCGCAGCCCUGAAUUAAAUGAUGUGUCUCGGGUACACUUCAAACCAGUCCUAAACUCUCCAAAACCUGGGACAGGGCAGAGAAAAGGAGGCACAUUUUGUGGUUUUGGUAGAGAAAGACCUAGAGCAUCUUGGGCUUCUGAGCAGUGAGAAAACUUGUGUUAUGUUCUCCCUGGUUAGAGUUCAGAAGACCUUUGCCUCCUAAUAUGUCAUCAGUGAAGAAGAGAACAUGCCAGUACCAUAUUUCAUCUCUGCAUUUGGAAGUGGGGUGCAAUGUGCUUUUCAUGGCAUGGGAGUUCUUGUCUCUUAACAUGUCCCAGAUAUAUCACUUUAUUUGGCUUUUUCAUUAAGUUGAUAUCAGACAAGAAACUUUUCUUGCAUGUUCAUGCUUUUUUAACUAACCUCACUGGCUCAAAUCCCUUUGGUGAUUUACAGUUGCAUAAGGGAAAUCAUGUAAGUCUUGGUGGCAAAUGUCUGCUUUUUAACAAGGUACUGGUUGCAUUCCUGGGUGUGCACCACUUCGUUAAGCAGUGGAUGUAUGCAACCCAAGCUUUAAGCAGUUUCCUUAUGCAAGAGUAAAUUGUCCAUAGGAUUCUCGCCACCAUAAAAUCAUGUUAGAGAGAGCUUCUGAAUGGAUCACUGUUCUCUACUGGCAGUAGGUCCAACUUCCAUAUUCUGCAUAGCCGAAUUAAAUGCAAACAGCUUGUGCUGAUAACUUCAGAGAUAUCACAAAAAGGAAACCUUGUUCAAGUACAAUUACAUGUAUGCAAUCUUUGUAAGAACUUAUCUUUGGGGUUGAUAAUCAUUUGGUACAUAGGUAGAAGCAAUGGCUCUCUUUCCCUUCCUAGCCUCCUUCCCCACCUCCAACCCCACCCUGGCAAAAUGACUACAGAAAAUGUAGGCUCUCGUUCAUGUAAUAAUAUGUUGAUGAACACUUUGGAUCAAGUGGUUCAGGAAGCAAUUAGCUUUAAAAAAUUGUUCAUCCUUGCCCAGUAAUUUAUACCAAGGGAAUAAAUUACUGGGCAAGAGAAGGAGUAGGGCAUGGGGGAACCUAGAAUAUUUUACACAUUUAAUUUUGCUUCCCUUUUAUCCAGCCUUUUAAAAACUUCUUUUUUGUGAAGGGGGAGUGCAUCUUUGUAAGGUUCCUAUAGCUCCUUACACGUGACGCAUCUGAAUUAAGAUUUGGAAAAAAUUAAAUCAAAAAUAUUUCAGUUAUAAACAAGUCAUGUAUCUUCCUUUAAUGGGAGGUUUUACUUCAGGGAAAGGAAUGUUUCACCAUGCUGUGACACUUCAGCAGUGUACAAAAGAAAUUCUGGCACCCCAAAGUAUUUGUAUUCUGAUUGAACACUUGUGUCUUUCUCUAGAUUGUCCCCAGCAGUUGUAAGCCUACACAUGCUCAUUCAAACAAGUCCAAUUGACUUCUUUAGGAAUUUAUUAAUGAGUUGAUGUGGUUGAGAAUUGGCUUCAGUUACCACCCAAAUGGAUAUAAUUGACUGACCCAAGUGAGUCCAAAAUUCCAAUUUCAGAAGCCUAUAUUAAUGUCCUCUUGAUUGAGAUGUAACACAUCAUUCGACACAUCACUUCACAAAUAUAUCCUGAGAUCAUACACUCUGCCACAGACUUUGCAGUCUGUAGCAUUUAGAAUUUAGUAACCAUUUUCCCAUUGCUGCUGUUUGUCCAAAUCCUUUCUACUUGCCACCAUUAGAGACCGAAUGUUUGAUGAGAUCUGCUUUCUCUCAUUGUCUAGUGAAUGUUGUCAUAAUGAGACCUUUUUUUGUGUGGGAGGCAAAGCCUAUGAAUAACUUGGUCUCUGAAGGGCUGCCACUUCUAUAUGUUGCUUUCAGGGUUGGGGAAGAGAAGAAAUAAUUCCUAAGAGGUAUCGUUCCUAAAGGGUUCUCUAUCAAAGCCACUGGCAUGCUCCAGACAUACAAACAUCUAGAAACGGAAAUUUUGGUGUUGAAGUUUUUUUCAGCAGGAGGAAUUACUAGUCCCAGAGUACUCCAGGAGUAAGUACUGAGACAUUCUGGGAGUUGUAUUGAAAACAGUAACAUUUCCCACAAUAAGUAGUAGAGAAUCAUCUGACAACAUUACCUGAUUGGUGAGCAUUUUUGUGACCGAGGCUAUCCAUUGCAAUACACAGCAUGGGAAUAUGAAAUGGUUAGAGCCCAUAGCCCCUAAUCCCAAUACCAUAUGUUAGGCUGUGCAGUACCAGGUGGUCUGAAUGGAUAUAGCCAUGCUUAUCAAAGAUGCCAUCUGGCACCAGUUUAAAAGUUCUUGCCGGCUUCUGGUUUCUUUUCUCUUGCUCAUUUCCUGUACUCCUUUUCUUAACAUUGGCACAGAAGAGCAUCAUUUCACAGGCUGAGCAUGUGUGGGUCUUCGGCAGGAGCCUCUUCUUGCAUGCAGCUGGGGAGGGAUCAAGGACUGCACGCAGUGGAACUGGCAGCUUUUUAGAAUCUCAUUAUGUACAUGUGUUCCUUUUCUACAAAUAAAGGUGGUGGAUUUGGUUGCAUAUCCUUUCUCUUGCAUCUCUUCGUGCACACUAAAGUCUUGUAUCAUGAAUAAAAGACCUUGUCUUUAAUACCUGUGAAGCAAGAUGUGACUUUUGCUGAAACAAAUUUUGUAAAGAAGUGUAGCCUAACAAACCCUUUGUUCACUUAUCUCCCUCCAAGUAUUUAUUCAUACUUUCAGGCCAAUGAAUUUAGAGGGCUGGUCAUCUUGAAGCAUCUCUUUAAAAUGUGCCCAGGUGUAUAUUAACAAAAGUGCUGAUAAGCAUAUGCGGUCAGGCAAAUUAAAGGCUCUUCCAUUCUA